rnacentral:rRNA from 1 species
UUUGGUUAAGUUAGAAAGGGCGCACGGUGGAUGCCUUGACACUAGGAGUCGAUGAAGGACGGGACUAACGCCGAUAUGCUUCGGGGAGCUGUAAGUAAGCUUUGAUCCGAAGAUUUCCGAAUGGGGAAACCCACCAUACGUAAUGGUAUGGUAUCCUUAUCUGAAUACAUAGGGUAAGGAAGACAGACCCAGGGAACUGAAACAUCUAAGUACCUGGAGGAAGAGAAAGCAAAUGCGAUUUCCUGAGUAGCGGCGAGCGAAACGGAACAUAGCCCAAACCAAGAGGCUUGCCUCUUGGGGUUGUAGGACAUUCUAUACGGAGUUACAAAGGAACGAGGUAGACGAAGCGACCUGGAAAGGUCCGUCGUAGAGGGUAACAACCCCGUAGUCGAAACUUCGUUCUCUCUUGAAUGUAUCCUGAGUACGGCGGAACACGUGAAAUUCCGUCGGAAUCUGGGAGGACCAUCUCCCAAGGCUAAAUACUCCCUAGUGAUCGAUAGUGAACCAGUACCGUGAGGGAAAGGUGAAAAGCACCCCGGAAGGGGAGUGAAAGAGAUCCUGAAACCGUGUGCCUACAAAUAGUCAGAGCCCGUUAACGGGUGAUGGCGUGCCUUUUGUAGAAUGAACCGGCGAGUUACGAUCCCGUGCGAGGUUAAGCUGAAGAGGCGGAGCCGCAGCGAAAGCGAGUCUGAAUAGGGCGUUUAGUACGUGGUCGUAGACCCGAAACCAGGUGAUCUACCCAUGUCCAGGGUGAAGUUCAGGUAACACUGAAUGGAGGCCCGAACCCACGCACGUUGAAAAGUGCGGGGAUGAGGUGUGGGUAGCGGAGAAAUUCCAAUCGAACCUGGAGAUAGCUGGUUCUCCCCGAAAUAGCUUUAGGGCUAGCCUUAAGUGUAAGAGUCUUGGAGGUAGAGCACUGAUUGGACUAGGGGUCCUCAUCGGAUUACCGAAUUCAGUCAAACUCCGAAUGCCAAUGACUUAUCCUUAGGAGUCAGACUGCGAGUGAUAAGAUCCGUAGUCAAAAGGGAAACAGCCCAGACCGCCAGCUAAGGUCCCAAAGUGUGUAUUAAGUGGAAAAGGAUGUGGAGUUGCUUAGACAACUAGGAUGUUGGCUUAGAAGCAGCCACCAUUUAAAGAGUGCGUAAUAGCUCACUAGUCGAGUGACUCUGCGCCGAAAAUGUACCGGGGCUAAAUACACCACCGAAGCUGCGGAUUGAUACCAAUGGUAUCAGUGGUAGGGGAGCGUUCUAAGGACAGUGAAGUCAGACCGUAAGGACUGGUGGAGUGCUUAGAAGUGAGAAUGCCGGUAUGAGUAGCGAAAGACGGGUGAGAAUCCCGUCCACCGAAUGCCUAAGGUUUCCUGAGGAAGGCUCGUCCGCUCAGGGUUAGUCAGGACCUAAGCCGAGGCCGACAGGCGUAGGCGAUGGACAACAGGUUGAUAUUCCUGUACCACCUCUUUAUCGUUUGAGCAAUGGAGGGACGCAGAAGGAUAGAAGAAGCGUGCGAUUGGUUGUGCACGUCCAAGCAGUUAGGCUGAUAAGUAGGCAAAUCCGCUUAUCAUAAAGGCUGAGCUGUGAUGGGGAAGCUCCUUAUGGAGCGAAGUCUUUGAUUCCCCGCUGCCAAGAAAAGCUUCUAGCGAGAUAAAAGGUGCCUGUACCGCAAACCGACACAGGUAGGCGAGGAGAGAAUCCUAAGGUGUGCGAGAGAACUCUGGUUAAGGAACUCGGCAAAAUGACCCCGUAACUUCGGGAGAAGGGGUGCUUUCUUAACGGAAAGCCGCAGUGAAUAGGCCCAAGCGACUGUUUAGCAAAAACACAGCUCUCUGCGAAGCCGUAAGGCGAAGUAUAGGGGGUGACACCUGCCCGGUGCUGGAAGGUUAAGGAGAGGGGUUAGCGUAAGCGAAGCUCUGAACUGAAGCCCCAGUAAACGGCGGCCGUAACUAUAACGGUCCUAAGGUAGCGAAAUUCCUUGUCGGGUAAGUUCCGACCCGCACGAAAGGUGUAACGAUUUGGGCACUGUCUCAACCAGAGACUCGGUGAAAUUAUAGUACCUGUGAAGAUGCAGGUUACCCGCGACAGGACGGAAAGACCCCGUGGAGCUUUACUGUAGCCUGAUAUUGAAUUUUGGUACAGUUUGUACAGGAUAGGCGGGAGCCAUUGAAACCGGAGCGCUAGCUUCGGUGGAGGCGCUGGUGGGAUACCGCCCUGACUGUAUUGAAAUUCUAACCUACGGGUCUUAUCGACCCGGGAGACAGUGUCAGGUGGGCAGUUUGACUGGGGCGGUCGCCUCCUAAAGUGUAACGGAGGCGCCCAAAGGUUCCCUCAGAAUGGUUGGAAAUCAUUCGUAGAGUGCAAAGGCAUAAGGGAGCUUGACUGCGAGACCUACAAGUCGAGCAGGGACGAAAGUCGGGCUUAGUGAUCCGGUGGUUCCGCAUGGAAGGGCCAUCGCUCAACGGAUAAAAGCUACCCCGGGGAUAACAGGCUUAUCUCCCCCAAGAGUCCACAUCGACGGGGAGGUUUGGCACCUCGAUGUCGGCUCAUCGCAUCCUGGGGCUGUAGUCGGUCCCAAGGGUUGGGCUGUUCGCCCAUUAAAGCGGUACGCGAGCUGGGUUCAGAACGUCGUGAGACAGUUCGGUCCCUAUCCGUCGUGGGCGUAGGAAAUUUGAGAGGAGCUGUCCUUAGUACGAGAGGACCGGGAUGGACGCACCGCUGGUGUACCAGUUGUUCUGCCAAGGGCAUAGCUGGGUAGCUAUGUGCGGAAGGGAUAAGUGCUGAAAGCAUCUAAGCAUGAAGCCCCCCUCAAGAUGAGAUUUCCCAUAGCGUAAGCUAGUAAGAUCCCUGAAAGAUGAUCAGGUUGAUAGGUUCGAGGUGGAAGCAUGGUGACAUGUGGAGCUGACGAAUACUAAUAGAUCGAGGACUUAACCA